rnacentral:misc_RNA from 1 species
GUAGGUGAACCUGCGGAGGGAUCAUUAACACGUAUCCACGUACCACUAGUAAACCGAACACAAAGGUUCCGCUCGAGUCAGCAUUUGGACGCAAACAGUAGGGAGAACUCGCGUCUCCGUCCACGCUGACGAGGAACCUCAAGUCAGGGACUGACUCAAAACGUCCCGGAUUGGGCUUGUCUCGAUCGCAGUUUGCUACUGUUUUGUACUUCUAUCACUUUGACUACUGAACCUUUUGACUGAAACUAUG